AGGGGUGUAGUUAAACGGUAUAGCGAUGGUCUCCAAAACCAUUAUUGAGGGUUCGAUUCCUUCCACCCCUGCCA
rnacentral:tRNA from 1 species